UGCUCCUGAAUUCAGCGGCGGACGGGUGAGUAAUGCCUAGGAAUCUGCCUGGUAGUGGGGGACAACGUUUCGAAAGGAACGCUAAUACCGCAUACGUCCUACGGGAGAAAGCAGGGGACCUUCGGGCCUUGCGCUAUCAGAUGAGCCUAGGUCGGAUUAGCUAGUUGGUGAGGUAAUGGCUCACCAAGGCGACGAUCCGUAACUGGUCUGAGAGGAUGAUCAGUCACACUGGAACUGAGACACGGUCCAGACUCCUACGGGAGGCAGCAGUGGGGAAUAUUGGACAAUGGGCGAAAGCCUGAUCCAGCCAUGCCGCGUGUGUGAAGAAGGUCUUCGGAUUGUAAAGCACUUUAAGUUGGGAGGAAGGGCAUUAACCUAAUACGUUAGUGUUUUGACGUUACCGACAGAAUAAGCACCGGCUAACUCUGUGCCAGCAGCCGCGGUAAUACAGAGGGUGCAAGCGUUAAUCGGAAUUACUGGGCGUAAAGCGCGCGUAGGUGGUUUGUUAAGUUGGAUGUGAAAUCCCCGGGCUCAACCUGGGAACUGCAUUCAAAACUGACAAGCUAGAGUAUGGUAGAGGGUGGUGGAAUUUCCUGUGUAG
rnacentral:rRNA from 1 species